rnacentral:rRNA from 1 species
GUCUACGGCCAUGCCACCCUGAACAAGCCCGACCUGAUCUGAGAAGCUAAGAAGGGUCGGGCCUAGAUAGUACUUGGAUGGGAGACCACCGAGGAAGACCAGGUGCUGUAGGCA